GCAGUGUUUGCAGGUGGAGUCGAAUGUAACCCCCCGGGAAUGGAGCCGGGAGGGUCAGAGAACGCGGCUGCGCUCUGGAUCUCCGAAGGGGGGCGGGGGCCUGGAAGAGGUCCGGGCCCAGAAUGGACCUCCAGGUCCCUGCUGCCGCAAUCCGGCCCUACCCUCCAGCCUACCCCUUACUCCCAGAGGAAGGGACCCAGGGAGACCCACGCAGAUGCCCUGAAAGGAGGUGGAGGAUGGGGGUGGGGCAAUACGCAGAGUUUGUCUGGUGAAUGCAGGAAAGGGGUGGGGGCUGGAGAGGAAAAGGAUGGAGCAGCCGUCAGCUUGUCAACUCCGCAUCUGCUGGCUGCCUCGGCCGGGCUCCAGCCUGCGCCCUCGCCCCUCGGAACAGCGGCACGCUGCAAUCCUGUACCCUGAAACCAGCUAGAUGAGCAUGUCCUAUAGAGGCCAAGGCUACCAUGAGCACCCUCUGGGCAUCGGGCCCUGUCUGCAAUACACCUGCAGGAAGAGCUCGAUCAGGUUCAGGUAAUAGGGCUGCUCCCGGCAAUAGAGCUUCAGCAGGCGGUAGAUACAUGCUUCCAGGAGGUUAGCAUCAUUGAUGGCAUCCAAACCCACGCCUGGCUGUCAUGACAGACAGAAAAACAAGCAAUCAAUCUCUAGUCUCAGUUCAUACUAAGAGCCAUCCCCCCAACACCUCAACCAGGCCACAUAUAACCACCUCCCUGUGGCCUGUCCCCAUACCCACUGCUAUUUUCCUGCCCACAUUACCUUCUGAUACCAGCAGAUCUGUCCCCGGCGGGUAAGGGAUGAAUCCAUGAUGUCAUCUGCCACCAGGAAGAAAGCUUGCAGCUAGAAAGAGUGGAAUAAGACCUGCAGGGCUCCUCAUUACUGUUCCUUCUAUCAGCAACAGAGCUGCUACUUUAUAUCUGUAUAUAGUUUUGCUUUUUUUUUGGUGGGGGACAGAGUCUCACUAUUAUCCAGUGCAGUGGUGCAAUCACGGCUCACUGUAGCCUCUAACUCCCAGGCUCAAGUGAUCCUCCCACUUCAGCUUCCUGAGUUCCUGAGACCAUAGGCACAUACCCCAUGCCUGGCUAUUUUUUUUUUAAUUUAUUUUUUGUAGAGACAGGGUCCCACUAUGUUGCUCAGGCUGGUUUUGAACCCCUGGGUUCAAAUGAUCCUCCUGCCUCAGCCUCCCAAAUUACUGGGAUUACAGGCAUGAGGCAUCACAGCCGGCCAGAGCUGCUGCCUUUGACAGUCCCUAUGAGCUGGGAAAGUCAGGAUGGGGAGACAGAAGACUUCUGUGCUAUGGAGACUUGGGAAGUGACAUAACAUGUUUGGCUCAGACUCCCCGCCUAU
rnacentral:antisense_RNA from 1 species